rnacentral:lncRNA from 1 species
GUUUAUUGAAAAUCAUGUUUUAUUUCGUUUUGCUGCAGUGCACAGCAUCAUUAAUCUUAAGCAAUUAAACUAAUUUUGUUUUUCUGUUUCCAAAUAAUGAGCCCUAAAACCUUAAGUAACUUUCACCAGCUUAUGCAGAGUUGAGAUUUCUGGAAGAUAAACUUACGAUACAUUUUUCUUACUUGUAUAGGCCGAGAUCAUCGUUAUGCUCACAGCGUUUUCCAAAUAGUAUUCAUUAUUGCCCAACUGACAGCCCGAAGCAGCUCGAAGUGCUCCGUUAGACCGUUACCAAAUUAUAUUUGCGUACGACAUAGUUUUCUCUCCCCAUUCGCAUGCACUACGGAAAUGCGCUAUUAGCUCGAGAAUUGACUCUUUGAUCAGCGACGACUGACUGACGUGGCUGUUGGCUGUCAUUAUAGCAAUACUGCUCACUUGCGGGCCAUCCUUUCGUAUCUUUGAGGGAUGGGGGAGUUGAGCCUGCUCCAGCUACCCGGCAAGCAUCAUUCGACUACAUAGCCGAAUUGUAGGCCUACUACCCCAGCUGGUUAAAGUUUCAAGCCAGAUUUAAACAAAUAAAAGUUCGCCGUUCUAAUUUUUUUCCAAAUUCAACUACUGAUCUUCAGCUUUACAUCCCAAAAGUUUUGGAGGCAUGUCACUGCAGUGAUCAAGGUGGUGAAAUUCUAUUGGUGCCAAUCCCUGCGAUUUCCGUUUACCAAUAGGAGAAACACCAUAAACCACCCAUGACAGAUAGAGGCAAAGUUAAUUUCAGCAAAAGCAUCAUCAACAAAAAAGAAGUUCCAGUUAUUUUUGCUACCCAUUUAUUCUUUCAGCUAUUGCUGCUACCAUUCUAAUACUCCAGCGCAGCGAUACCGGAAUACGAACUGCAGCAUCACUUUCAACCGCACGGAACUGCUCACUGGUGUGCAGUCCUUCCGUCCCCCGGAAGCGUAGGAUAGAAGGGCGUGCUACCAGCCGGAUGCUCACCCCCCUACUGCCUCCGUCAAACGUGGAGGAAUCCUUUGGCUCCGUCAGUAGAUGGCUAAAAUCAAGUUGUCCCCCACCCCAGUCGCCAGAUGACGCGAGUGCCUUUGAAAGGACGAAAUUUUCGCCAUUUUGUUCCGAAACGCCAAGUGAGAAGGUGAUCAAAAUUCGUUACGGAAUUGCGUUGUCGAUCUACAUCUUCAGCAUUUAAAUUUAAUGGCAAUCUGGUAUAUAAUUUCCACUUGGCCAAAUAAUCAAUCACGUGGACUGGAACUGCUUUCAAUUGCCGAAAUGUCGUUCUUUGUUAGCUGUACCUGUUCGGAUGUACGUCUCAUCUCACGUACAAACACUACAGAGUUGGUGUUCAGGUUGGAGAUCCUGUUGCUCAACUGUUGCAGAAUGUGAGAACUCAACAAAUUCUGAGCUCCAUGGCUGGCAUCAUGGCCGCAGUGGUUUUGUUGCAGCCAGCUGGUGAAAGGUGUGAUCGAGUCAAGUUGAGCUGCAGCUGCUGCAUGCAGUUUAACGAGCUGGUGUUAUAUCCUGAAUGGUGAUGGUGAUAUAUCCUUAAGUGUCAUUUCAGGAAGACUUUUUGAAAUGGACUUGGUGAUACUUAAACUAUGCCUGUGCUGAUCAACGUGCAGUGGUUUUGCAGCCUGUUUCCAGUUGAGAGAUGUGAUUGUGCAGCUGAUACAGGAUUGAAGAAAAAGAACUGAAGUAGCUGGUGUUGUCCUGAAAUUGCUGUGCCACAAGAGUUGCAGAUAGUGUUUGGUUCCUCAUAGAAGUCGAUAGAAGUUUAUUUAAAGAGUCUGGAGAUGAUCAGCCACUUCUGCCUUUAACUUAUGUAAAACUUCAAAGUUGUAAGAAAUAUACGUUAAGAAAUAUAA